CCUACGGGUGGCAGCAGUGGGGGAUAUUGCACAAUGGGGGGAACCCUGAUGCAGCGACGCCGCGUGGAGGAUGAAGGUUUAGGAUUGUAAACUCCUUUUGUGAGAGAAGAUAAUGAGGGUAUCUCAAGAAUAAGCACCGGCUAACUCCGUGCCAGCAGCCGCGGUAAUACGGAGGGUGCAAGCGUUACUCGGAAUCACUGGGCGGAAAGAGUGCGCAGGCGGGCUUGUAAGUCAGAUGUGAAAUCCUGUAGCUUAACUACAGAAUUGCAUUUGAAAAUAUGAGUCUAGAGUGUGGGAGAGGUAGGUGGAAUUCUUGGUGUAGGGGUAAAAUCCGUAGAUAUCAAGAGGAAUACUCAUGGCGAAGGCGACCUACUGGAACAUUACUGACGCUCAUGCACGAAAGCGUGGGGAGCAAACAGGAUUAGAUACCCGGGUAGUC
rnacentral:rRNA from 1 species